rnacentral:rRNA from 1 species
UAAGUCAGAUGUGAAUUACGAGGCUCAACCUCGUGGCUAUGUCUGAACUAAGUUGCUAGAGUGCAUGAGAGGUAGCUGGAAUUUCCGGUGUAGGAGUGAAUCCGUAGAUAUCGGGAGGAACACCAAUGGCGUAGGCAGGCUACUGGCAUGUUACUGACGCUGAGGCACGAAAGCGUGGGAGCGAACGGAUUAGAUACCCCGGUAGUCCACGCCGUAAACGAUGAAUGCUA